rnacentral:lncRNA from 1 species
CACGAGAUAGUCGUAGUUGAGAUCAUUGGUUUCAUAAGGUAACUCAAUGAAAUUCAUUUGAUUUUUGGAUCAACCAUAGAAUUCAAACUAUAUAGCUUUACUAACUUGCACUUAAAAUUUAUUAAAUUUACUAGCUUUUGUAUUCCUUCAAGUUUAGAAUUCAUUUGCAAAUUCUAUCAAUUUCGAUAUAAUUUGGUCCAAGCACAACUUAUUCCAUAGAAUUAAACAUAUGGAACUUCAAAUGUAUUUUUAUUUAUACCAAACAUGAAAAAUGGGAUUUAUAGAUGAAUUCCAUACAAUUUUAUGGAAUUCAUUUACCCCAAACAAGCUCCUCGUGAGCUUUGAGCCUUUUAAGGAUAGAUAAUAGUAUAGCCUAGCUAGAAAAUAAUGCUUGCCUGAGCAUUUGCAGAUCCUUGAACAGCUUAUCCUUGUCAGAUUGCAUUAAUUUUAUAGAAACUUGCAGAAAGGUUGAAGGGCAAUCUUAGAGCCAGGUUGAUCCCAUUCCAGUGAUUCCCACCAUUUUUCAUCUUGAACAUAGAUCUGUUCGAGAUUAGGUGGAGCAAAUGCUACACCAUCAACAAUCGGAAGCUCAAGCGGGAGCCUUCUUAUAUUUGGACAUCCACUAAUUGUCAUGUAAAGGAGAGAAGGACAAAGCACCAACCCCAGACAGAUGCUCUUUAAUUCUGGUAGCUUACACAAAGAGAGACUCCUCAAGUUGGGGAGAACAAACCUCAUGGCAAUAUCUUUAUUUUCCAUUGGUAAAUGGUUGCUGCUGCUUGCUUCCUGCUCAUCCGUUGUUGUAGCUGCUAAAAACUGCUUCAUUUGUGGGCAGUCAUAAAUAAGAACCUCUUCAAGGUUUUGAAGUAGUAGAAGCAACCCAGGUUUGAACAGACUCCUUAUAUUUGAACAACCUUGGAUUUUGAGAACUGUGAGACUGGAAAAGGCACUAGGAAGAACUGAUUGUGGUGUAGCAUGCAAAGAAGAUGAUGUCAUUGCCAAGCUCUCUUUUCCUGAAUUAAAAUGAAUUUCAUUCUUCUGUGUUGAAAAAUAGCUCAAUGUUUUGAAAUUUUGGCACCUCUCAAUACUCAGGUACUCAACAUCAAUUGGGACCAAAAGCGAAUCUUCUAUGCCUUCUUCACUGAUGCCAUAAUCAAUUAUUCUUACAACUUUUUUGAAGUCUCCAGGUUUAUGCAAGUCCUCCUUUCCCAGUUGUAGAAAGUACUUUCUCAAGACUCGGCCAUGCAGAGACCCAACAAAUAUAUUAAAACUAGAUAAACUGUAAAAUUGACAUUCAAUUUUUUCUAUCAUUUUCAAGCCUACCAAUUCCUCACCUUUUACUUUCAAAUUUUUUGAUCUCCACCACAGUCGCAAGUAUUCAAGGCAAGAGAGUUUUGGUAAUAUUCCGAUUGGUAACUCUAGAUCUUGCACAUAGAGAUUAAGAUACCUGAGAUUGAUCAAACUUUCCAUGCCUUCAGGUACAUGUUGGAUUCCAGUAUAUCUGAGAUCCAACUCCCUUAGUGCACCUAGCUUUGCUACAGAAGGCACGGACUGCAAUAGUUUGCAAUGCUUAAGAUAUAAUGCAACAAGAUUCACCAAUGUGGAGAUGGAGUUUGGUAAAUUCUUAAUUCCAGUAUAAGAAAGAUCUAGAAGCCUCAAAACAUGCAUGCAUGAAAAGAAAGAAUCUGGAAUUCUAACCAGAUCUUUAUUCUGUGCCAGUAACAUGGUUUGAAGUUUUGGACAUUUUGGUGACAAUCUAGAAGGAAUUUCUGAUAUGUGAUUGUCAAUCAAGGAUACGCUCUCAAGUUCCUCCAUCCAUCUGUCCUCAUUUGGCAAUUCUCUUAACCGAACUCCAGCUUCUACAAGGAAUUGAUGAUCCAUGCUUUUCAUUUGAAUUACCAUGUCCCUAAUUAGGUCAUGCAUCUUCACAUAUUUCUUAUCAUAAAUGCUUUCCAAAAGACAAGCAUUUUCAAGCUUGUUUAGCAUAGCAUAUCCCUUGGCAAACUCUGCUUGCCUACUUUUCAUUUUAUCUACUAUUCCUACACCAAUCAAAUGCCUUAUCAGCUCUGUCCUUUUGAUCAAAAAGUCUUCCGGGUAUAAUGCACAAUAUAUGAGACACUGCCUGAACUUGUCAUCUUUCAAACGCGCAUAACUAAAUUUUAGCUGCUCAAACACCUUACCCAUGUCACUAAGCCCCUUUGUAGAUUCCCUCAACUCCUCUAGAGCAUUUUCCCAUUCAUAUAUGUCAUCUACGCCAUUCAUACUACCAGCUAUAGUGAUACUUGCAAGAGGCAAGCAGGCACAUUCAUCAGCAACUUGUUUUGCUGUUGCUUCUAAUUCUGGGGUAAUAAAAACUUGAUAUCCAACUUUUUCCACAAAUAAGUUCCAUGCCUCCUCUUCAGUAAGAAGCUCCAUUUUGAUAUCCUUGCAAUCCAUGCUCCGACAAAUGUCAAGCGAUCGAGUUGUCAAUACUAAUUUGCAUCCAUUAUCAGGUGUAGGCUCAGGAAUCCCUACAUCCUCAAGAUUGAAUGCUUCCCACAUAUCAUCAAGGAUUAACAACCAGUUUUUCUUUACUCGCAGCCAUGCAAAUAACUUGACAGCCAUUCUUGUUUCAUCCUCAUAUUGUGCAAAAUCUUGAUUCAAUGCAGCUGCAAUGUCUUUCUGUAAGUUCCCAAGGUUUAGUGCUUUUGACACUGUCACCCAAAUCACAUUAUCAAAUUUGUCAUGGCCUCUUUGGAGUCUGUUGUUGAUAUGCUUCAUAAUGGUUGUUUUUCCAACACCUCCCAUGCCAUAAAUUCCAUCCUUUCUAACAUCAUUAUCCAUCAAGCAUGUCCAAAUUUCUUCCAUCUUCCUUUUCGCUGUUUCACCUACUAAUGUUGUUGCAGGUAAGAUCUCUCCAACAUCUGCAGGUGUAUCAAUCACCAAACUGUCACCAAAAUCACCCUUUUGAUGAAGAUCCUCCACUUCUUGUAUCUUCUUAAAAGCAAGUUUUGCCAAGCGUGCACGUGAAAGAUAUUUCCGCUUCGCAACUUCUUGCUCAAUUGCAAAAGUUUCACCAUUGAUAGUCUCUAUAUUUUGCAACCAAAGCUCAACCUCUUUUCUAGGUAAUUUCCCUGGAAUAAGCUCUGCACUUAAUCUUGAAGCUACAUCUUCCUUCCGACUGUUUAGUUCAUUCACUUUCCUUCUCAAAUUACUCACAUAUUGGUCCAUGUGUCUAUGAUAUUCCCAGCGGGUUCCUACUGGAGUCCAUAACUUGUUUACAAGUUCUAUAACUGACCCAGCAAGCUCCAUCUACAGAUCGAUGCAAAAGAGACAAUAUUUUACAAGUCCUUGAUCAAAAAUCAAAAAUAAGAAUUUAACCAUAAAAUUUGUUUAUUUACUAUUAGCAAUCCAUUAAGAAUCCAAAGAUUUCAUGAAGAAGGGCCAAGGGAAUCAUCUAGGGGGGAAAAAGCUACUUUUACAUUAAGAAACAAAGAUUUCAAGAAUCAAAGACACAACUUUCUUCUUCAACAACUACUUCUAAGUUAUAUUUUGAUACAUAAGGGCAAAUAUUUUGUAAGUCCUUGCUGAAAAAUCAAACAUAAGAAUUUAAUCAUACAAUUUGUUUACUUACUAUUAGCAAUCAAUCAAGAAUCAGAAGAUUUCAUGAAGAGCAGCCAAAAUGACCUUUUUGGGGGGGAGAAAAAGCUACUUUUACAUCAUGACACAAAGAUUUCAAGAAUCAAACACUCAACUCUCUUCUUCAACUACUAGUUGUAAGUUAAUAGCAUUGCACUUAGCCAUUUAAAAUUCUUCAACUAGUAACCACAAGAAUCAAAGCAAAAUAAUGACAGGCAGAUCCAAAUCUGCAAGUUUUCAGAAUAAAUGUACCUGAUUGAUGGAUCUUAACUUUGUUUUAUUUUAAGUACCACAAAAACUCCCUUGCCAGUGUCUCCUCUCUUUUAAGAAUUUGAGAAUAGAAAAUUGAAUUUUCUUGUACGCGGAAAUAAACUGUUCACUGAAUCAGUAAGAGGAAGAUCAAUAGCAAAUUCCUUGUUGUGUAAUGGAAACAAUAUAAUACAAUAUUCUGACUGAAAAUAACCACCCACUAUUUUAAGAGUAGAAAUAUUUGUCGUGGGGCCUUUGAAAAGUAAAGCUAUAAAAUUCGUCUUAGCACUUUGUUGUUGUACCCCUCCUCUGUUAUGAAGCUUAGCUGGCGCGUGGGUUUGUAGACAUUGGGUCGGUAGUAGCCACUUUGUACCACGUGAAAAUCUUCUAUAGAUUUCAUAUUUAGCUAAUAUUUUACACCAGAUACCAUUUAAGCUGAUAUUGGGUCCACAAGUUUCAGGCCAGCUGUAAGCCUUUGGUUAUUAAAAAAAACAAAAACAACUUGGCCACUAACUCUGUGGCAUAGAUUAAAAGAAGAACUAAAAAAUUAUAGGAUUAAUCACAUUAAUGGUGUUUGAACUUCUGCAAUAUUCUUGUCAGUACAACAGUACGUUUUGAAGCAAAUAAAUAUAUACAAUCUAUCAAACCUGGAAAAAAAACAAGCACUUACUAAUUGAUUUUCCUUCUCGUUCAGAAAACAGACUGAGUUGCAAGAAUCUUGCAGACCAAAUUUGCAUUUCAUUGAAUAAUAUGUUGUGUAUAGAAAAGGUAAGGGAUGUAGAAGUGGAAAUCUCUGCAGAAAUUUAUGUUGAAUAAAAAGGAAAAGGGAUCAAAUUUUAGUGUUUGUACAUUGAUCAGUUCCGUAUGAGUUGAGUAGCCAUAUGAUUGUAUAUCAUCAGAACUGCAAAGGCGGAACAGCAAACUGCCGUCCACUGAUCACGUGCAACUCAGAUAGUUCCUCGUUGAAGCACAAAUGGAUAUCAUCAGAACAAGCUCGAUUUUUAUAUGGCCAAGCAAAUAUCUGAUGUUGGAAAGCAUGACGGGGAAAAUCUUCAGCUAGAAUCAGAUGAUCACAUCAAAGACUGCUCUAACAGCGAAUAUAUUGUUGUUGUUUCAUUAGGUGAUCCUUUCAGGCAUAUUCCGGCAAAUAACACACGUCAACUUCUGGUAAGCAUAAAUUCAACACAAAAGUUUCAGUGAUGCUAGCCAUUGACAAUCUCACUAAUACAGAUAUUAGAAGCAGCAGUCCUUGAAAAUAAACUUCUUAGAAUCUCUCUCCACAUCCCCAUUUUUGGAACAAAACCUUGUUUUACCAUUUGCUUCAAAACCAACUCAACCUCCCCAGUCAACUUGUCAUUGCAAAGCCCAUGAAUCAACUUCUUGUAAGAUGCAAAAUUAGGACUAUUAGCCUCACAAAUCAUCAUAGCCAUGAAUUCUUUUGCCCCCAAAAACUUCCCGGCAUCAAGCAAACCAUAUAGAACUUCUUGAUAAGACCCUGCAUUUGGUUCGCAUCCUUUGAGCUUCAUUUUCUGCAGCAGCUCCAUCCCAUCUUCAAUCCUUCCUUGUUUCCUUAACCCUGAAAUCAAAAUAUUGAAAGUGAUUGUAUCCGCCUCAAUACCCUCAUUUUCCAUUCUCUCAAGCAAACCAAAUGCCUUAUUCACCUCCCCUUUUGCACAGAAGUAGUGCAUCAGCGUUGAGAAAGUUCUCACAUUAGGCCUGCAUCUUUGUUUGGGAAAUUCGUCGAGCACAUUGAAUGCAAACUGUAAAUCCCCAUUUUCACAUAACCCUUUAAUGAGAAUAUUAAGACAACAAGCAUCAAUUUCUACACCCAACAUGGGAGCUUUCACAUAUAUCUCAUGAACUACAUAAAAAAGCUUUGCAGAUACUAGCAUAUUCAACACAAGAUUAAAAGUUUUCACAUUUGGCCAACAAUUAUACCCUUUGGGCAUAUCUAGAAGGGUUUCUAUUGAUUUCUUGAUUAGACCAGCUAAAUGGCCAUAAAUCUUGAUUACAUUGUAAAAGAAAUCGUUUGACAAACGACAUGACUUUUCAAAUUUGAUUCUUUCCAUAAUUUCUUCAAUGGCAUCAAAGUUUUUGGCACAGGCAAGCUGGUUUAUAACAACAGUGAAAAUAGCUUCAUUGGGUUUAUAGUCUUUUCUCUUUGAGUAUUGAUUCCAGAUAGAGAUAACUGAAUCUGGGUCUUUAAUGUCUUCGAAAAUUUUUAAAACUUCAUUUGGAGACAACCAGUCUUUAUGGUUCAGUUUGUAAUGAGUAUGAGGAGGAUGUUGAGCUGACUGUGAAGAAGAUGGUAAAGUAGAGCAAGAGAAAAACGAAGGGAAUAUAGAAAUUGAGGGAUCGACAGUGCGUCUUGAAUGAGCUUGAAGAGAGUGAAAGAUUGCUUUGUGAACUAGCAAUGAACGGAAAAGCAUUCUGUUCGUCUUCGAUUUGCGGGCUGGUGGUUUCGUGCGAGAACUUAUGAGUUAGGAUUCGUACCUCGUGCAAACCGCAAAGCAAGCACCGAACGAAUAACUAUUUUUCUCUUAAGCAAAUAAUAUGUUGUGCUAAGCAAGCAGCCGUCAAGGAUAUUGAGAAUUAAGCCAUUUUGACAACUUCCAACUGGAAGUUAGUUGCCUUUUUCUUUUUCAUUUGCGCUAUCAUCUGGAUCAGAUUAUAUAUCGGGUCGAGCCGUAAAUUGAUAUCAGAUCACCUUAGUUAGGUGGAAUUUGCGGGUCUUCCUCAAGUCGGACUUCAUCAUAUCGGGUUGUCAUCCUAUUACCUUGUUGAAUUUAACGGAAAAAUUAAAAAAAUUAUUGAAUCACUUCGAUUUUCAAAAAUUAGUAUAAAAUUUAAAUAUAAGAAUUAAUGUUAUCGUGUACUUAAAUUUGUAAAUUUUGGUAAUUUAUGUACUUUCUAUAUUAACAAUUUAAGUUUUUAAGAUUUUUGACUUUUAUAUGCAAAACAACCGUUUGAUAUAUAGCUAGCAUAAUUUUUUGGAUGAUAUACUUUUUGUAACUAGUCUCCGUCUGUUUUCAAAAAAAAAAAAAUUUACUGAAAAAUAUUUUUCAAAUAAUUUAUUUUCUGUUGUUCAAUUACAAUAUUAAAAAUUCAUUAAAAAUAUUAAAAAUUUUAAUUCAUAACAAUAAUAAGAAUAAAUUUCAUAUUUUAAAUUUUUAUUAUUAAAUAUGAGAAUAGUGAAAAAAAUAAUAAAUUAUGAAAGCUGCUGGUAACCGAUGGUGGUAGCUAAUGGUGGUGGCUGUAGUGGUGGCUAGUGAGUGGUGGUGGUAGCUAUCGAUUAUUAAUAAAUUAAAAAAUUAUGAAAUUUAUAAGGUUAUAAUAAGUUUGUCAAAAUCCGGAAAAUAUUUUACGCUCUUGAAAAUAGAAAGUCAUUUUCUUUAAAAAUGAAUUUUUUUUAUUAGAAAAAUAUUUUCCAUUAAUUUAUUUUCCUAAACGCCACCAAACAAUAGAAAAUUGUAAAAAAUAUGUUCAUGCAAGUUAUUUUACGGACAUAAACGGAGCCUAAAAAAAAUUAUUUUCGUAAUUGCAAGAUAAUCAAGCCAAAUAAGAAAAAGUAUUUUUAUUAGAUGAAAUUGUAACUCACACAUAACCAAUGGAUGAUUAAGAGCAGGCCAAGAAGCAAUUCCAACCUGCCUUCCUCUCAAAAGAGGUGCUAGAGAGAGAGAGAGAUCAACAUUUUGUAAUUUCUUGAAAUUAUUUAAAUUUAUUAUCUAGCCAUUAUAUAAAUAACCUAGAUGUGAACUUGAACAUCAGCCAAUUGACUAAAAUUCAUUGGUGUCAUAUACUUAGCAUCUCCAUUGUAGAGGCUGUCAGCUAACAAUUGAGAAGCUGCUUGAGAUGGAUGAUACAAAUCCCAAAACAAAUAUUCACUUCUAUUGCUACAAAGAAUUGGAUUUAUAGGUUCAUAACAUCCUACUUCUCCAUUGUAAUUUCCCAAUCCACAACAGGCUGUCUUGAUGUUCUUGAACCCUAAAAUAUAUAAAUGGAACUUUUUAAAAUAUAAAAAUUUCAAAAAACAGUGCAUGAGGAAACUAAUUAGGACUUGAAAAUUCAUAAUUUUAGCAAAAUUAGUGUUGAGUAGUACAGGUACCGACCCAGUCCGAAGAAGUAAGGGGUCAAACUAUAAUUUUGAUUAAUGAAAGGGCCAAAUUUAAAUAUUUUUUCAAUUUUUUUUAACGAGAAAAAUUGAAAUUUUUUUAUAUUGGGGGCCAAGGCCCCUUUUUUUGGGCCCUAUAUAUGUGGGUUCCUCCCUACAGUAGUACUUUAAAGUCUAAUGCUUCCAGUGAGCAUUCGGUCAACCGAACCAAGCCAAAAUCGAAUUAGCUCGAUUUUGGUUUAUUGAAAAAUAUUUUUGUGGUAUCAAAUUUGAAACCAAACAGUAUAAUAAAUGAUAAUUGGUUUGGUUCGGUUUGAAUUCGAUUACUCCAAAUCUAAUUAGUUAUUUUGAACUUAAAAUAAAGUUAGUUAUAUAUAGUAACCAGAUAAAAAUCAAAAACCAAACGGUUAUCUAUAUACAAACCGAUUAGUAAUCGAAUUUUUAAAAUAUCUAUCUGAAUCCGACCGAAAUAAAUUGGCUCAGUUCUAUUCUCGGUUAGAAACCGAAAAUUGCUGACCUUUACUAACGCGUGUGUGUGUAUAUAUAAUGGCAGGGAUAAGCAUAAUUACCAAAAGAAGGAUAGUUGUCAAACAAAUCCAUAGUCAUAGCAUAGGUAUUUCCAAGAGAAUACUUGAGGUUUGGCAACUCUGAAGUCAUCCUUUGCAAUAGAGUGAGAGUUGAGUUAUAGAAAACUUGAGCAAAGUCAUUCAAAAGCUGCAUACAACCUUCACCACCUUCUUUUUCAUAGAUGGCUCUUGCAUAUGGACAACAACCAAUUGGUGGAACUCCUAUUAUACCGAAUUUCCUUGCACCCAUAUUAUACACAUCCUGUCAUAAUACAAGCAUGCAAAAGAAAAAAAAAAAAAAAAAAAAAAAAAAAAAAAAAAAGAAGAUAAAACCCGUAAGUUGGUGAACAAAACCAUUAGAAAGGUGAAUGUUAUUUGUCCUUAACAAAGUUCCCAGUACUAUAAAAGGGAAAAAGAUCAGGAUAGAACCUUCAAAUGAACAUGGUAUGCAGAUUGGACACCAGCCACGAACUCUUCUUUGGGUGUAUUGUUUUUUGCCCGCAUGUAAUCAAAGAAUUCGUUAGCUCCAAAGCAGAAAAUGUAUAAAGCUUUGGAAAGAAUCUUAGCUGUUGCCUUUGGACCUCUAACUUGUGUGAUAUUUCCUAUGACUGUAUUAAAUUGUUGAAUUUGCAGUGAUAGAGGCACAACUGCAUUCUGCAGGUUUCCACCAAAUCAAGAAUCUAUUGUUAGGUUUAUCAUCACUAAGUAAAGUUGAUUCAAAUUAACGAGUUUAUAUAAAUAAACUAAAAUGCCUUGCUUUUGGCUUCUUAGAAAUUUCUUGCGGGUGUAGGAUGGUUCCAUGCAGGAAGCUAAUCAAACAAAAGUUUUUUAAAAAAUGUUACCGUAUUGUCUUUUUCUUUUGAUUUUAGUAAUCUUUGUGAAAUAGUCAAGCAUAAUUAGUGUCCUUGAUUAUANNNNNNNNNNNNNNNNNNNNNNNNNNNNNNNNNNNNNNNNNNNNNNNNNNNNNNNNNNNNNNNNNNNNNNNNNNNNNNNNNNNNNNNNNNNNNNNNNNNNNNNNNNNNNNNNNNNNNNNNNNNNNNNNNNNNNNNNNNNNNNNNNNNNNNNNNNNNNNNNNNNNNNNNNAUUCAAACUAAUUGUGUAUUCAGUGAGCACAAGAUAGUCGUAGUUGAGAUCAUUGAUUUCAUAAGGUAACUCAAUGAAAUUCAUUUGAUUUUUGGAUCAACCAUAGAAUUCAAACUAUAUAGCUUUACUAACUUGCACUUAAAAUUUAUUAAAUUUACUAGCUUUUGUAUUCCUUCAAGUUUAGAAUUCAUUUGCAAAUUCUAUCAAUUUCGAUAUAAUUUGGUCCACGCACAGCCUGUUCCAUAGAAUUAAACACGUGGAACUUCGAAUGAAUUUUUAUUUAUACCAAACAUGAAAAAUGGGAUUUAUAAAUGAAUUCCAUACAAUUUUAUGGAAUUCAUUUACCCCAAACAAGCUCCUGGUGAGCUUUGAGCCUUUUAAGGAUAGAUAAUAGUAUAGUCUAGCUAGAAAAUAAUGAUUGCCUGAGCAUUUACAGAUCCUUGAACAGCUUAUCCUUGUCAGAUUGCAUUAAUUAUAUAUAAACUUGCAGAAAGGUUGAAGGGCAAUCUUAUAGCCAGGUUGAUCCCAUUCCAGUGAUUCCCACCAUUUUUCAUCUUCAACAUAGAUAUGUUCGAGAUUAGGUGGAGGAAAUGCUUCACCAUCAACAAUCGGAAGCUCAAGCGGGAGCCUUCUCAUAUUUGGACAUGCAGUAACUGUCAUGUAAAGGAGAGAAGGACAAAGCACCAACCCCAGACAGAUGCUUUUUAAUUCUGGUAGCCUACACAAAGAGAGACUCCUCAAGUUGGGGAGAACAAACCUCAUGGCAAUACCUUUAUUUUCCAUUGGUAAAUGGUUGCUGCUGCUUCCUUCCUGCUCAUCUGUUGUUGUAAAAAACUGCUUCAUUUGUGGGCAGUCAUAAAUAUCAACCUUUUCAAGGUUUUGAAGUAGUGGAAGCAACCCAGGUUUGAACAGACUCCUUAUAUUUGAACAACCUUGGAUGUCGAGAACUGUGAGACUGGAAAAGGCACUGGGAAGAACUGAUUGUGGUGUCGCAUGCAAAGAAGAUGAUGUCAUUGCCAGGCUUUCUUUUCCUGAAUUAAAAUGAAUUUCAUUCUUCUGUGUUGAAAAAUAGCUCAAGGUUUUGAAAUUGUGGCACCUCUCAAUACUCAGGUACUCAACAUCAAUUGGGACCAAAAGUGAAUCUUCUAUGCCUUUUUCACUGAUGCCAUAAUCAAUUAUUGUUACAACUUUUUUGAAGACUAUGUUCUUGCGAGUCCUCCUCUCCCAAUUGUAGAAAGUACUUUCUCAGCUCUCGGCCAUGCAGAGACCCAACAAAUAUAUUAAAACUAGAUAAACUGUAAAAUUGACAUUCAAUUUUUUCUAUCAUUUUCAAGCCUACCAAUUCCUCACCUUUUACUUUCAAAUUUUUUGAUCUCGACCACAGUCGGAAGUAUUCAAGGCAAGAGAGCUUUGGUAAUAUUCCGAUUGGUAACUCUAGAUCUCGCACAUAGAGAUUAAGAUACCUGAGAUUGAUCAAACUUUCCAUGCCUUCAGGUACAUGUUGGAUUCCAGUAUAUCUGAGAUCCAACUCCCUUAGUGCACCUAGCUUUGCUACAGAAGGCACGGACUGCAAUUGUUUGCAAUGCUUAAGAUACAAUGCAACAAGAUUCUCCAAUGUGGAGAUGGAGUUUGGUAAAUUCUUAAUUCCAGUAUAAGACAGAUCCAGAAGCCUCAAAACAUGCAUGCAUGAGAAGAAAGAAUCUGGAAUUCUAACCAGAUCUUUAUUCUGUGCCAGUAACAUGGUUUGAAGUUUUGGACAUUUUGGUGACAAUCUAGAAGGAAUUUCUGAUAUGUGAUUGUCAAUCAAGGAUACGCUCUCAAGUUCCUCCAUCCAUCUGUUCUCAUUUGGUAAUUCUCUUAACCGAACUCCAGCUUCUACAAGCAAUUGAUUAUCCAUGCUUUUCAUCUGUAUUACCAUGUCCCUAAUUAGGUCAUGCAUCUUCACAUAUUUCUUAUCACAACUGCUUUCCAAAAGACAAGCAUUUUCAAGCUUGUUUAGCAUAGCAUAACCCUUUUUAAACUCUGCUUGACUAUUUUUCAUUUUAUCUACUAUUCCUACACCAAUCAAAUGCCUUAUCAGCUGUGUCCUUUUGAUCAAAAAGUCCUCCGGGUAUAAUGCACUAUAUAUGAGACACUGCCUGAACUUGUCAUCUUUCAAAUGCGCAUAACUAAAUUUUAGCUGCUCAAGCACCUUAUCCAUGUCCUUAAACCCCUUUGUAGAUUCCCUCAACUCCUCUAGAGCAUUUUCCCAUACAAAUAUGUCAUCUUCGCCCUUCAUACUACCAGCUAUAGUGAUAAUUGCAAGGGGCAAGCAGGUACAUUCAUCAGCAACUUGUUUUGCUGUUGCUUCUAAUUCCGGGGUAAUAAAAACUUGACGUCCAACUUUUUCCACAAAUAAGUUCCAUGCCUCCUCUUCAGUAAGACGCUCCAUUUUGAUAUCCUUGCAACCCAUGCUCUGACAAAUGUUAAGCAAUCGAGUUGUUAAUACUAAUUUGCAUCCAUUAUCAGGUGUAGGCUCAGGAAUUCCUACAUCCUCAAGAUUGAAUGCUUCCCACAUAUCAUCAAGCAUUAACAACCAGUUUUGCUUUUCUCCCAGCCAUUUAAAUAACUUGACAGCCAUUCUUGUUUCAUCAUCAUGUUGUGCAAAAUCUAGAUUCAAUGCAGCUGCAAUGUCUUUCUGUAAGUUCCCAAGGUUUAGUGGUUGUGACACUGUCACCCAAAUCACAUUAUCAAAUUUGGCGUGGCCACUUUGGAGUCUGUUGUUGAUAUGCUUCAUAAUGGUUGUUUUUCCAACACCACCCAUGCCAUAAAUUCCAACCUUUCUAACUUCAUUAUCCAUCAAGCAAGUCCAAAUUUCGUCCAUCUUCCUUUUAGCUGUUUCACCAACUAAUGCUGUUGCAGGUAAGAUCCCUCGACCAUCCGCAGGUGUAUCAAUCACCAAACUGUCACCAAAAUCACCCAUUUGACGAAGAUCCUCCACUUCUUGUAUCUUCUUAAAAGCAAGUUUUGCCCAGCAUGCACGUGAAAGAUAUUUCCGCUUCGCAACUUCUUGCUCAAUUUCACCAUUGAUAGUCUCUACAUUUUGCAACCAAAGCUCAACCUCUUUUCUAGGUAAUUUCCCUGGAAAAAGCUCUGCACUUAAUCUUGAAGCUACAUCUUCCUUCCGGCUGUUUAGUUCAUUCACUUUCCUUCUCAAAUUACUCAUAUAUUGGUCCAUGUGUCUAUGAUAUUCCCAGCAGGUUCCUACUGGAGUCCAUAACUUGUUUACAAGUUCUAUAACUGACCCAGCAAUCUCCAUCUACAGAUCGAUGCAUAAGAGACAAUAUUUUACAAUUCCUUGAUAAAAAACCAAACAUAAGAAUUUAACCAUAAAAUUUGUUUAUUUACUAUUAGCAAUAGAUUUCAUGAAGAAGGGUCAAAGGAAUCAUCUAGGGGGAAAAAAGCUACUUUUACAUUAAGAGACAAAGAUUUCAAGAAUCAAAGACACGACUUUCUUCUUCGACUACUACUUCUAAGUUAUAUUUUGAUGCAUAAGGGCAAAUAUUUUGUAAGUCCUUGCUGAAAAAUCAAACAUAAAAAUUUAAUCAUAAAAUUUGUUUAGUUACUAUUAGCAAUCAAUCAAGAAUCAGAAGAUUUCAUGAAGAGCAGUCAAAAGAACCUUUUUGGGGUGGAGAAAAAGCUACUUUUACAUCAUGAAACAAAGAUUUCAAGAAUCAAACACUCAACUCACUUCUUCAACUACUAGUUGUAAGUUAAUAGCAUUGCAAUUAGCCAUUUAAAAUUCUUCAACUAGUAACCACAAGAAUCAAAGCAAAAUAAUGACAGGUAGAUCCAAAUCUGCAAGUUUUCAGAAUAAAAGUACCUGAUUGAUGGAUGUUAACUUUGAUUUAUUUUAAGUACCACAAAAACUCCCUUGCCAGUGUCUCCUCCCUUUUAAGAAUUUGAGAAUAGAAAAUUGAAUUUUCUUGUACACGGAAAAAAAAAGGUUCACUGAAUCAGUAAGAGGAAGAUCAGUAGCAAAUUCCUUGUUGUGUAAAGGAAACAAUAUAAUACAAUAUUCUAACCACCCACUAUUUAAAGAGUAGAAAUAUUUGUCGUGGGACUUUGAAAAGUUAAGCUAUAAAGUUCGUCUUAGCACUUUGUAGUUGUAUCCCUCCUCUGUUAUGAAGCUUAGCAGGCGCGUGGGUUUGUAGACAUUGGGUCAGUUGUAGCCACUUUGUACCACAUAAAAAUCUUCUAUGGAUUUCAUAUUUAGCUAAUAUUUUACACCUGGACACCAUUUAAGCUGAUAUUGGGUCCACAAAUUUCAGGCCAGCUGUAAGCCUUUGAUUAUUAAAAAAAAACAAAAAAAUCUUCCUUCUCGUUCAGAAAACAGACUGACUUGCAAGAAUCUUGCAGACCAAAUUUGCAUUUCAUUGAAUAAUAUGUUGUCUAUAGAAAAGGUAAGGGAUAUAGAAGUCGAAAUCUCUGCAGAAAUUUAUGUUGAAUAAAAAGGAAAAGGGAUCAAAUUUUACUGUUUGUACAUUGAUCAGUUCCGUAUGAGUUGAGUAGCCAUAUGAUUGUAUAUCAUCAGAACUGCAAAGGCAGAACAGCAAACUGCCGUCCACUGAUCACGUGCAACUCAGAUAGUUCCUCGUUGAAGCACAAAUGGAUAUCAUCAGAACAAGCUCGAUUUUUAUAUGGCCAAGCAAGUAUCUGAUGUUGGAAAGCAUGACGGGGAAAAUCUUCAGCUAGAAUCAGAUGAUCACAUCAAAGACUGCUCUAACAGCGAAUAUAUUGUUGUUGUUUCAUUAGGUGAUCCUUUCAGGCAUAUUCCGGCAAAUAACACACGUCAACUUCUGGUAAGCAUAAAUUCAACACAAAAGGUUCAGUGAUGCUAGCCAUUGACAAUCUCACUAAUACAGAGAUUAGAAGCAGCAGUCCUUUGAAAAUAAACUUAUUAGAAUCUCUCUACGCAUCCCCAUUUUUACCAUUUGCUUCAAAACCAACUCAACCUCCCCAAUCAACUUGUCAUUGCAAAGCCCAUGAAUCAACUUCUUGUAAGAUGCAAAACUAGGACUAUUAGCCUCGCAAAUCAUCAUAGCCAUGAAUUCUUUUGCCUCCAAAAACUUCCCGGCAUCAAGCAAACCAUAUAGAACUUCUUGAUAAGACCCUGCAUUUGGUUCGCAUCCCGUGAGCUUCAUUUUCUGCAGCAGCUCCAUCCCAUCUUCAAUCCUUCCUUGUUUCCUUAACCCUGAAAUCAAAAUAUUGAAAGUGAUUGUAUCCGCUUCAAUACCCUCAUUUUCCAUUCUCUCAAGCAAACCAAAUGCCUUAUUCACCUCCCCUUUUGCACAGAAGUAGUGCAUCAGCGUUGAGAAAGUUCUCACAUUAGGCCUGCAUCUUUGUUUGGGAAAUUCGUCGAGCACAUUGAAUGCAAACUGUAAAUCCCCAUUUUCACAUAACCCUUUAAUGAGAAUAUUAAGACAACAAGCAUCAAUUUCUACACCCAAAAUGGGGGCUUUCACAUAUAUCUCAUGAACUACAUAAAAAAGNNNNNNNNNNNNNNNNNNNNNNNNNNNNNNNNNNNNNNNNNNNNNNNNNNNNNNNNNNNNNNNNNNNNNNNNNNNNNNNNNNNNNNNNNNNNNNNNNNNNNNNNNNNNNNNNNNNNNNNNNNNNNNNNNNNNNNNNNNNNNNNNNNNNNNNNNNNNNNNNNNNNNNNNNNNNNNNNNNNNNNNNNNNNNNNNNNNNUUCAAUGGCAUCAAAGUUUUUGGCACAGGCAAGCUGGUUUAUAACAACAGUGAAAAUAGCUUCAUUGGGUUUAUAGUCUUUUCUCUUUGAGUAUUGAUUCCAGAUAGAGAUAACUGAAUCUGGGUCUUUAAUGUCUUCGAAAAUCUUUAAAACUUCAUUUGGAGACAACCAGUCUUUAUGGUUCAGUUUGUAAUGAGUAUGAGGCGGAUGUUGGGUUGACUGCGAAGAAGAUGGUACAGUAGAGCAAGAGAAAAACGAAGGGAAUAUAGAAAUUGGGUGAUGGACAGUGCGUCUUGAAUGAGCUUGAAGAGAGUGAAAGAUUGAUUUGUGAACUAGAAAUGAACGGAAAAGCAUUCUGUUCGUCUUCGAUUUGCAGGCUGGUGGUUUCGUGCGAGAACUUAUGAGUUAGGAUUCCUACCUCGUGCAAACCGCAAAGCAAGCACCGAACGAGUAACCAUUUUUCUCUUAAGCAAAUAAUAUUUUGCGCUAAGCAAGCUUCAAGGAUAUUGAGAAUUAAGCCAUUUUGACAACUUCCAACUGGAAGAUAGUUUCCUUUUUCUUUUUUAUUUGCGCUAUCAUCUGGAUCAGAUUAUGUAUCGGGUCGAGCCGUCAAUUGAUAUCAGAUCUCCUCGGUUAGGUGGAAUUUGCGAGUCUUCCUCAAGUCGGACUUUAUCAUAUCGGGUUGUCAUCCUAUUACCUUCUUGUUGAAUUUAACGCAAAAAUUAAAAAAAUUAUUGAAUCACUUCGAUUUUCAAAAAUAAGUAUAAAAUUGAAAUAUAAUAAUUAAUGUUAUCGUGUACUUAAACUUGUAAAUUUCAGUAAUUUAUGUACUUUCUAUACUAACAAUUUUUGAUUUUUAUACGUAAAAUACCCGUUUAAUUAUAGCUAGCAUAAUUUUUUGUUACUAGGCUCCGUCUAUUUCAAAAAAAAAACUUACUAGAAACUAUUUUUCAAAUAAUUUAUUUUCUGUUGUUCGGUUACAGUAUUGAAAAUUCAUUAAAAAUAUUAAAAUUUUAAUUCAUAAUAAUAAUAAUAAUAAUAAAUUUCAUAUUUUAAAAUUUUUAUUGUUAAAUAUGAGAAUAGUGAAAAAAAUGAUAAAUUAUGAAAGCAUGCUACUAACCGAUGGUCGUAUCCAAUGGUGGUGGUAGCUAUCAAUUAUUAAUAAAUUAAAAAAAUUAGAAAAUUUAUAAUGUUAUAAUAAGUUUGCCAAAUCUAGAAAAUAUUUUACGCCCUUGAAAAUAGAAAGUCAUUUUCCUUAAACAUGAAUUUUUUUUUUUAUUAGGAAAAUAUUUUUUAUUAACUUAUUUUCGUAAAUGCCUCUAGACAACAAUACAUUAUGAAAAAUAUGUUCCAGUAAUUUAUUUUACGCAAAUACCGGAGCCUAAAAAAAAAAUUAUUUUCAUAAUUGCAAGAUAAUCAAGCCAAAUAAGAAAAAGUAUUUUUAUUAGAUGAAAUUGUAACUCACACAUAACCAAUGGAUGAUUAUGAGCAGGCCAAGAAGCAAUUCCAACCUGCCUUCCUCUCAAAAGAGGUGCUAGAGAGAGAGAGAGAUCAACAUUUUGUAAUUUCUUGAAAUUAUUUAAAUUUAUUAUCUAGCCAUUAUAUAAAUAACCUAGAUGUGAACUUGAACAUCAGCCAAUUGACUAAAAUUCAUUGGUGUCAUAUACUUAGCAUCUCCAGUGUAGAGGCUGUCAGCUAACAAUUGAGAAGCUGCUUGAGAUGGAUGAUACAAAUCCCAAAACAAGUACUCACUUCUUCAUUUGUGGGCAGUCAUAAAUAACAACCUCUCCAAGGUUUUGAAGUAGUAGAAGCAACCCAGGUUUGAACAGACUCCUUAUAUUUGAACAACCUUGGAUUUUGAGAACUGUGAGACUGGAAAAGGCACUAGGAAGAACUGAUUGUGGUGUAGCAUGCAAAGAAGAUGAUGUCAUUGCCAGGCUUUCUUUUCCUGAAUUAAAACGAAUUUCAUUCUUCUGUGUUGAAAAAUAGCUCAAGGUUUUGAAAUUGUGGCACCUCUCAAUACUCAGGAACUCAACAUCAAUUGGGACCAAAAGUGAAUCUUCUAUGCCGUCUUCACUGAUGCCAUAAUCAAUUAUUCUUACAACUUUUUUAACUUUUUUGAAGUCUCCAGCUUUAUACAAGUCCUUCUCUCCCAGUUGUAGAAAGUACUUUCUCAGCACUCGGCCAUGCAGAGACCCAACAAGUAUAUUAAAACUAGAUAAACUGUAAGAUUGACAUUCAAUUUUUUCUAUCAUUUUCAAGCCUACCAAUUCCUCACCUUUUACUUUCAAAUUUUUUGAUCUGCACCACAGUCGGAAAUAUUCAAGGCAAGAGAGCUUUGGUAAUAUUCCGAUUGGGAACUCUAGAUCUCGCACAUAGAGAUUAAGAUACCUGAGAUUGAUCAAACUUUCCAUGCCUUCAGGUACAUGUUGGAUUCCAGUAUAUCUAAGAUCCAACUCCCUUAGUGCACCUAGCUUUGCUACAGAAGGCACGGACUGCAAUAAUGCUUAAGAUACAAUGCAACAAGAUUCUCCAAUGUGGAGAUGGAGUUUGGUAAACUCUUAAUUCCAGUAUAAGACAGAUCCAGAAGCCUCAAAACAUGCAUGCAUGAAAAGAAAGAAUCUGGAAUUCUAACCAGAUCUUUAUUCUGUGCCAGUAACAUGGUUUGAAGUUUUGGACAUUUUGGUGACAAUCUAGAAGGAAUUUCUGAUAUGUGAUUGUCAAUCAAGGAUACGCUCUCAAGUUCCUCCGUCCAUCUGUUCGCAUUUGGUAAUUCUCUUAACCGAACUCCAGCUUCUACAAGCAAUUGAUGAUCCAUGCUUUUCAUCUGUAUUACCAUCUCCCUAAUUAGGUCAUGCAUCUUCACAUAUUUCUUAUCACGAAUGCUUUCCAAAAGACAAGCAUUUUCAAGCUUGUUUAGCAUAGCAUAUCCAUUGACAAACUCUGCUUCGCUACUUUUCAUUUUAUCUACUAUUCCUAAACUAAUCAAACGCCUUAUCAGCUGUGUCCUUUUGAUCAAAAAGUCCUCCGGGUAUAAUGCACACAAUAUAUGAGACACUGCCUGAACUUGUCAUCUUUCAAAUGCGCAUAACUAAAUUUUAGCCGCUCAAUCACCUGAUCCAUUUCUUCCCUAAGCCCCUUUGUAGAUUCCCUCAACUCCUCUAGAGCAUUUUGCCAUUCAUAUAUGUCAUCUACGCCCUUCAUACUACCAGCUAUAGUGACAAUUGCAAGAGGCAAGCAGGCACAUUCAUCAGCAACUUGUUUUGCUGUUGCUUCUAAUUCCGGGGUAUUAAAAACUUGAUUUCCAACUUUUUCCACAAAUAAGUUCCAUGCCUCCUCUUCAGUAAGAAGCCCCAUUUUGAUAUCCUUGCAAUCCAUUCUCCGACAAACGUCACGCAAUCGAGUUGUUAAUACUAAUUUGCAUCCAUUAUCAGGUGUAGGCUCAGGAAUUCCUACAUCCUCAAGAUUGAAUGCUUCCCACAUAUCAUCAAGGAUUAACAACCAGUUUUUCGCUUUUCCCAGCCAUUUAAAUAACUUGACAGCCAUUUUUGUUUCAUCCUUACAUUGUGCAAAAUCUCGAUUCAAUGCAGCUGCAAUGUCUUUCUGUAAGUUCCCAAAUUUUAGUGGUUGUGACACUGUCCCAUGUCAACCAAUAGUACCAUAUCUGCAAAUUCGUUCCCAAUCUUAUAAAAACUCGAAGAAAUCACCACUUUCUUUAUAUUAAUAUGCUAUUUUAAGUCUUGGAUAACGCUUCCACCUUUGUCAGGAGCAUCAAUUAAAUAAGCCUUGCCGAUCUCAAAAACUUUAUAAUCCAACGAGUCAAGAACAUCAGGAAACUCAUCAAAAACUCCAUCACCAAACGUAGAAACUUCCAACCAGGUUUUCUUAAAUCGAUCAAAAGGGAACCGGGAGAGUGGGUUUGUAAUAAUAACCUUGCCAGAUUUUGAUUCUUUAGCUCUAACAAUCCAACUCUUGGUACGGUUGGUGAGGGGUUGGAUAGAGUAAAUUGUGUAGAGAUAUUUUAGGCUUGAUUUUAGUAAUCUUUGUGAAAUAGUCAAGCAUAAUUAGUGUCCUUGAUUAUAUGGUCAAUAGCUAAUAAUAAGCUUGUAUCAAUUCAAGCAUAAUUAGUGUCCUUGAUUAUAUGGUCAAUAGCUAAUAAUAAGCUUGUAUCAAUUCUCCUAUAUAUAUUCUUGUAUAUAUACCUUUAAAAAAAAAAAAAUUAGAAUACAAUUUGAUUAUUCUGCUUUUAAUUCAAACUAAUUGUGUAUUCAGUGAGCACAAGAUAGUCGUAGUUGAGAUCAUUGAUUUCAUAAGGUAACUCAAUGAAAUUCAUUUGAUUUUUGGAUCAACCAUAGAAUUCAAACUAUAUAGCUUUACUAACUUGCACUUAAAAUUUAUUAAAUUUACUAGCUUUUGUAUUCCUUCAAGUUUAGAAUUCAUUUGCAAAUUCUAUCAAUUUCGAAAUAAUUUGGUCCAAGCACAACCUAUUCCAUAGAAUUAAACAUAUGGAACUUCAAAUGAAUUUUUAUUUAUACCAAACAUGAAAAAUGGGAUUUAUAAAUGAAUUCCAUAGAAUUUUAUGGAAUUCAUUUACCCCAAACAAGCUCCUGGUGAGCUUUGAGCCUUUUAAGGAUAGAUAAUAGUGUAGCCUAGCUAGAAAAUAAUGCUUGCCUGAGCAUUUACAGAUCCUUGAACAGCUUAUCCUUGUCAGAUUGCAUUAAUUUUAUAGAAACUUGCAGAAAGGUUGAAGGGCAAUCUUAGAGCCAGGUUGAUCCCAUUCCAGUGAUUCCCACCAUUUUUCAUCUUGAACAUAGAUCUGUUCGAGAUUAGGUGGAGCAAAUGCUACACCAUCAACAAUCGGAAGCUCAAGCGGGAGCCUUCUCAUAUUUGGACAUGCAGUAACUGUCAUGUAAAGGAGAGAAGGACAAAGCACCAACCCCAGACAGAUGCUUUUUAAUUCUGGUAGCCUACACAAAGAGAGACUCCUCAAGUUGGGGAGAACAAACCUCAUGG